UAUUGAAAGUUUCAUUCAUUUUUACUAUUAAAAAUUGUCGUGGCUGAUAAAAUAACCAGACAUACCUCAUUUUGACGAUCAAUGAUCAGAUUUUAACAGUAGAAAUGGAUGGAAUUUUGAACA
rnacentral:pre_miRNA from 1 species